AACAUGACUCUCGACAACGGAUAUCUCGGCUCUCGCCACGAUGAAGAAUGUAGUGGAAUGCGAUACUUAGUGUGAAUUGCAGAAUCCCAUGAAUCAUCGAGUCUUUGAACGCAAGUUGCGCCCGAGGCUCCGGCUGAGGGCACGUCUGCUUGGGCGUCGCAC
rnacentral:rRNA from 1 species